AUGAACAUCUUCAUCAUCUUCACUAUUCCUCUCAGCUGCCUCCUCCACCGGAGCCACAGUUUCGAGGUGAUUCAGCCUCAGAAUCGGACCGUAAACCCUGACGGGUCCGUCUCCAUCAGCUGUGAACACACGGCCAAAGUCAGCUCAGUCGAAGAUGUUCGACUCAACGCCAUAUCAGAAACAGACAGACCUAAACUGCUCUGCCAGAAGGGGAGGAAGGACUGUAAGAACAUCACCAUGCUCAAAGAGAAUCCCCAGAAAUGGCUGUUCAUCAUGCUCAACAUCGGGCCAGAGGCCAUGACUGUGAAAUAUGAGUGUGAGUUCACAGUGAAUGAAGACGACAUCCACAAAACCAGGAAGGGAACGCCGAGCGAACUGCUGCCGAGUCAAAAAGAAGUGGCCUGCUUGGCUUCUUCUCGUCCUCGGUCUCCGUCUCUUGAGAUCUUCUGGAUUGCGAUUGGUCUGCUGGCUUUGAUGUUCCUGUACAGCUGUGUCAUCACCUCCUUCUACAUCAGACUGAGGUGCAGCAACGGAGAAGCUGGGAACACCACCUAUGUAGAAAUGAGGAAAGCUCCUCGGCCAAGGAAUCCACCUCUGUGACUCCUCUUGGUCCACCACCGGCCUCGUGCUCAAUGUGUGGUCAGGAGGACAUUGGGUUGUUUGCUGCAAAUUAUUUUUAUUGAUUUUAGCAUGGUUUGUUUUACAUUUUAGCAUGUUGACCCACAUUUUAUUAGCAGUCAAUAAUCACAUGCACCUGGAGGGACGUAAUCGGUUACAGGGAGCGCUGGUACUGAAGCAACUGGCCAACAGGAUAACAGGACCUCCCCUCCCCAAUCAUCACAGCUACUAUUAAAGAACAUGAAGCACGGCACGAGCAGAGGAAAAACGAGAGGAAGGAAACAAGCAGAGGACAGAAAAUGCAGAGGUCGAGCAGGCCAAAGAGGAACAGGACGGAACUGGACACCACUCACAGGAACGAAAAGGAGCAGGACGGAGCGGUGGAGGCUGGCUUUUUGCCUGGAGUUUUUUUUAUUUCUUUUUUCCAGUCUCGCCCAAAGUUGGCGAGACUGGAAUCUUGUUGACAUCUCUAGUUUUCUUGUUAUAUUUUACUUUUGAGCCCAAUUUUAGGUUGUGCUAAACUUCCAGAUUUCAAAGGCAAAGGAUUUAAGAAAUACAUUUCUUCAUAUAAAUGACUGAUUAAGUCAUCUUUAAACAUAUAUACUGUACUUUAUACUUCAAGUAAUAACAAUGUCUGGAAAUCUGAAUUGAGACUUAAAUCCAUUUGUAUAACAUUAAAGAGUACUUGUGUAGUUGUUGGACUUGUCAG
ensembl:lncRNA